CCUACGGGAGACAGCAGUGGGGAAUAUUGCACAAUGGGGGAAACCCUGAUGCAGCGACGCCGCGUGAGUGAAGAAGUACUUCGGUAUGUAAAGCUCUAUCAGCAGGGAAGAAGAAAGACGGUACCUGACUAAGAAGCCCCGGCUAACUACGUGCCAGCAGCCGCGGUAAUACGUAGGGGGCAAGCGUUAUCCGGAUUUACUGGGUGUAAAGGGAGCGUAGACGGCUGUGCAAGUCUGAAGUGAAAGCCCAGGGCUCAACCCUGGGACUGCUUUGGAAACUGUGGAGCUAGAGUGCUGGAGAGGUAAGUGGAAUUCCUAGUGUAGCGGUGAAAUGCGUAGAUAUUAGGAGGAACACCAGUGGCGAAGGCGACUUACUGGACAGUAACUGACGUUGAGGCUCGAAAGCGUGGGGAGCAAACAGGAUUAGAUACCCCUGUAGUC
rnacentral:rRNA from 1 species